rnacentral:rRNA from 1 species
UAACGAAUCUUCCGCAAUGCGCGAAAGCGUGACGGAGCAAUGCCGCGUGCAGGACGAAGCCCCUCGGGGUGUAAACUGCUGUCAGAGGCAAGGAAAACAAUGACCAACCUCAAAGGAAGGGCCGGCUAACUUCGUGCCAGCAGCCGCGGUAAGACGAAGGGCCCGAGCGUUGUUCGGAAUCACUGGGCUUAAAGCGUACGCAGGCGGACUCGCAGGCAUCUUGUGAAAUCCCACCGCUCAACGGUGGAACGGCAGGGUGAACCUCGAGUCUUGAGACAGGUAGAGGCGGUCGGAACGAUCGGUGGAGUGGUGAAAUGCGUUGAUAUCGAUCGGAACGCCAAAGGAGAAGUCAGGCCGCUGGGCCUGUUCUGACGCUGAGGUACGAAAGCGUGGGGAGCGAACGGGAUUAGAUACCCCCGUAGUCC